rnacentral:rRNA from 1 species
CCUACGGGUGGCAGCAGUAGGGAAUCUUCGGCAAUGGGCGAAAGCCUGACCGAGCAACGCCGCGUGAAUGAAGAAGGCCUUCGGGUUGUAAAAUGCUGUUAUAAGGGAAGAAAGGUGAUAGGAGGAAAUGACGAUAAAUUGACGGUACCUUAUGAGAAAGCCACGGCUAACUACGUGCCAGCAGCAGCGGUAAUACGUAGGUGGCAAUCGUUAUCCGGAAUUAUUGGGCGUAAAGGGGGCGGAGGUGGUUAAUUAAGUCUGAUGUGAAAGCCCAGGGCUUAACCGUGGAGGGUCAUUGGAAACUGGUUGACUUGAGUGCAGAAGAGGGAGGUGGAAUUCCAUGUGUAGCUGUGAAAUGCGUAGAGAUAUGAAGGAACACCGGUGGCGAAGGCGGCUUCCUAGUCUGCAACUGACACUGAGGCGCGAAAGCGUGGGGAGCAAACAGGAUUAGAUACCCCAGUAGUC